rnacentral:rRNA from 1 species
AUGCAAGUCGAGCGGAGCGAGGGUGCUUGCACCUUAGCUUAGCGGCGGACGGGUGAGUAAUGCUUAGGAAUCUGCCUAUUAGUGGGGGACAACGUUUCGAAAGGAACGCUAAUACCGCAUACGUCCUACGGGAGAAAGCAGGGGAUCUUCGGACCUUGUGCUAAUAGAUGAGCCUAAGUCGGAUUAGCUAGUUGGUGGGGUAAAGGCCUACCAAGGCGACGAUCUGUAGCGGGUCUGAGAGGAUGAUCCGCCACACUGGGACUGAGACACGGCCCAGACUCCUACGGGAGGCAGCAGUGGGGAAUAUUGGACAAUGGGCGAAAGCCUGAUCCAGCCAUGCCGCGUGUGUGAAGAAGGCCUUUUGGUUGUAAAGCACUUUAAGCGAGGAGGAGGCUUCUUUUGGUUAAUACCCAAAAGUAAGUGGACGUUACUCGCANAAUAAGCACCGGCUAACUCUGUGUCAGCAGCAGCGGUAA